UUUCUGAAGUACAUAAAGUGCAUUCGUCGAUUCUUGCGAUGAGUAAAACUAUUUAAAAAAUAAGUUCCAUUAAAGUUUAUGUGACUGAAGCCCCUGCACCACGUCUAGGUGCAGUAUGUUCGCAGAAAUAAUUUUUUAUAUUUAAAAUAGAAAUAUUCGUUUCUUUAUGACAAUAGGCUGAAUCGGAAGAAAACCAAGUCCAUUUCCCACAUACUGCUGCUUUGGACCACACCAGUAACUAUAGCACAAAAAUCAUUAACUGUGUGAUAUUUACACCUCCAUGACUUUCACACAUAACAAUUGAGCUAACAGCAGACAGGAGGAAAUUAUAAUUACAUGUAGCUCAUUCUAGCAUUCGAAGGUCCAAA